GAUGAACGCUAGCGGCAGGCCUAACACAUGCAAGUCGAGGGGUAGCAGGAUUAAGCUUGCUUAAUUGCUGACGACCGGCGCACGGGUGCGUAACGCGUAUGCAACCUACCUUAUACUGGGGUAUAGCCCGGAGAAAUUCGGAUUAAUCCCCCAUAGUACUAAUGAAUCGCAUGGUUUAUUAGUUAAAGCAUUGCGGUAUAAGAUGGGCAUGCGUCCUAUUAGCUAGAUGGUGAGGUAACGGCUCACCAUGGCUACGAUAGGUAGGGGGCCUGGGAGGGUGGUCCCCCGCCCUGGAAGUGAGAGACGGACCAGACUCCUACGGGAGGCAGCAGUGAGGAAUAUUGGUCAAUGGGCGCAAGCCUGAACCAGCCAUGCCGCGUGCAGGAAGAAUGCCCUAUGGGUUGUAAACUGCUUUUAUUUGGGAAUAAACCUCUUUACGUGUAGAGAGCUGAAGGUACCAAAUGAAAAAGCACCGGCUAACUCCGUGCCAGCCGCCGCCGUAA
rnacentral:rRNA from 1 species